rnacentral:lncRNA from 1 species
CGCCCGCCCUUCUGCUUUUUCUCCAGCCGCCGUUUCCUCCACCUUUCGCGCUCUAGCCACCCGGGAAGCCCAGUUAAGGGCAGCUAGGCUCUGAUUGGCUCCUUUAAAAGUCUACGGGCUAUCUGAUUGGUGAAUCCAGGACCCUUUAGCGCGGUGAGUUUGAAACUGCUCGCACUCAGCUCCAGAGCUGGCGCUUGGAAGUUAGGGGAGAGCGUCGCGGACGAGGAUCUACCAUACCCACUGAUUAAGUAUGGAAGACUAUACCAAAAUAGAGAAAAUUGGAGAAGGUGAGUGGUUUUAAUAAUAUAAAAGGAUUUUUAAAAAAUGAUUUAAUGAUUUGACGUCUUUGACACAAAGAUAUGUAAAUAUUCAAAUUCAGUUUUUAAAGUAUCUAACAGUACAUUAGUGCAUUAAUACAUAUGUUCUCUACAUAAUAGCAUAAGCAAAAAAUAAUAGUUAACCUUUCAAGAGAAUUGAAAUUAUUCUGACAUGUCUCCCUAACAGCACCCCUCCAAUAAUCUUACAUUCUUCUAAUACUAAACACUUAAAGCAAUAUAUCUAUAUAUUUUUAAAAAACACUAUUGCUGUUUUGUAGGUGUGUUGAGGAGAGUGUUAGGGCAGUGAAAUUAUGUGCUUUAGUUUUAAGUGCGUCUGCAUAUACUCUCUGAAGUUCUAGUCAGGGUCAUGUAUUUCAUUUGGUAGUUAAUGUCUUCUUAAUGUCUUUUGAUUAAAAUAGUUCUCUUGUCUUUUCCCCCUUGACAUUGAGUUUUUGACUACCCAGUUCAUUUCUUAAAUAUAUCAACUCUUAUUUCAGUUAUUACCGAGUUGUUCUAUGGUUUUCUUCUGAGUUAACAAAAAUAAUUCAUUGAACUCGGGUAAUAAUUUGAACCCCUUUCUGCCUUUUUAGAUCAUAGAGAACAUAACUAUAUGCAUGAUGUGGAACCUUGGUUGGCAUUUAGCAGACAACCUAUAACCAUUUGUUGAUUAAUAGUUUUUCUGUUUAUUGUUCAGUCUCCAUAAUUUGCCUAUAUUGAAGAUUUUUAAAUUUUAUAAUGCCUAGUUCAUUUCAAAGUGCAUGCCUUGCAUCUCACAAAUGAUUUUUGGUAAUGAACCAGUGAAAUGACUAUGCUCUGUUUAACUAGAGCACUGUUCCAGUACUUCAGUGAGAAGUGGCAAUGAUUCAAAAAGAGUCAGGAGAGACAAAGAGCACUUGUGAUGUCUAAAACUCAAUUCGUAUAUACUGAGUGUUCCCUAUAAGUUAAUCAGUGUCUAUUAUGAGUAAAUUUUAGGACCAGGUGAAUGUUGUACACUUGAGUGAGAGGUAAGAAUACUUAAAAAAAAAGUUUGAAUUAUCAUUA